rnacentral:rRNA from 1 species
GGGGGGGCAAACAUGGCAGUCGCACGGGGUGUAAGAAGGGAAGAUACGGUCGGAAGGUCUGUGCAUGAGUGGCGGACGGUUGAGUAACGCGUGGGCAACCUGGCCUGUACAGGGGGAUAACACUUAGAAAUAGGUGCUAAUACCGCAUAACGGGGGAAGCCGCAUGGCUUUUCCCUGAAAACUCCGGUGGUACAGGAUGGGCCCGCGUCUGAUUAGCCAGUUGGCAGGGUAACGGCCUACCAAAGCGACGAUCAGUAGCCGGCCUGAGAGGGCGGACGGCCACACUGGGACUGAGACACGGCCCAGACUCCUACGGGAGGCAGCAGUGGGGGAUAUUGCACAAUGGGGGGAACCCUGAUGCAGCGACGCCGCGUGGGUGAAGAAGCGCCUCGGCGCGUAAAGCCCUGUCAGCAGGGAAGAAAAUGACGGUACCUGAAGAAGAAGCCCCGGCUAACUACGUGCCAGCAGCCGCGGUAAUACGUAGGGGGCAAGCGUUAUCCGGACUUACUGGGUGUAAAGGGGGCGCAGACGGCGAUGCAAGCCAGGAGUGAAAGCCCGGGGCCCAACCCCAGGACUGCUCUUGGAACUGCGUGGCUGGAGUGCAGGAGGGGCAGGCGGAAUUCCUGGUGUAGCGGUGAAAUGCGUAGAUAUCAGGAGGAACACCGGUGGCGAAGGCGGCCUGCUGGACUGCAACUGACGUUGAGGCCCGAAAGCGUGGGGAGCAAACAGGAUUAGAUACCCUGGUAGUCC